AACGGUCUUUAUAAACGGAGUUCCGACAGAAGUGACGAGUGGAGGUAUAGACAUGAAAGCAAUGUUUGGAGAAGAUUUGGUUUUGGUGCAUUCCUCAGGUGUUCCUCUUCCUACUGAUGAGUUUGGUUUUUUGAUGCAUAGCUUACAACAUGGUGAAGCUUAUUUCCUGGUUCCAAGACAGACAUGAACUGGCUUUACUAUUGGGCUGUGUGGUUCUCCAACAGAUGCCUUAUUAAUCUACCUUGGACUUUAUUGCUGCGAUCCAUCCGUUUUUGUUUUACUUUCCGAGUCGACAUAUCGUGCAAUCAAAUUUUCUUAUGUAUUUCUUAAUUUUGUAAUAAUUAAGAAAAAGUGAAGUCAAAAAUCUCUUAUAAGACGAAGAGAUUUUAGGUUUCGUAUCAGUUUAGUGAUUUAGUUUAAAAGUACGUAACUAUUUUUGCAAUAAAAUCUGUGUCUAGAGAUC